UCUGUGUUCAGUCACGGCGACCAUCAGUCUCGAUCGAUCGUCCGACUUAACCGGAGAAACUCAUCCCAAUCAGUUAAUCAUAAGAUAUAUAUCAUUCCUUAUUACUUAGUAUAUUUUUUGGACAUGGGAGUAUACGUUCAUGGUGUCGUUUAAACACGUGUUCAUUGUAUACUCUAGGUGAGCUCUAAGAUAUAGAUAAAGACUAACCCAAUGUGUUUUACACUUGGAAUAUAUUUCUAAUGUCUAUUCAAAUAUAGCACUUGGCACUUAGCAGGGAGUUGUGUCUUUCGAAUAAGGAGGUAUAGAUAGGAGAGGGGAAAGGAAAAGAAGGGAACGAUUGAUGAUCUAAAAAAAAACAAAAAAAAAAAAAAAAAAAGAAAAAAAAGGAAGGAUCAAUUAUUCAUUGAGGAAAAUUAUUGAAUGAUUUUGAUCUCUUGUUAGGCGUCUAUCAAAAGGAAGAAGAAAAAAAAAAAAAAAAAGAGAAUGAUCACUCGUAAACGUUAAAAAAAUUUACUAAACGAUUCCGAUCGAUUCAGUAAAGAAAAGGAAUAAUGAAAAAAAAAUUAUAUUUACACUGUGAUUCACUCGCAAUGAUUUCCAAACGAAUGAUUUUAAUUUUGCGAUGAACCGAAAGAGAGAGAGAGAGAGAGAGAUAGAGAGAGAAAAAAAAAACCUGAAGGGAAGAAAAAUUCCUGAGAGUCCUGUUCGCUAAAAAAAAAAAAGAAAAAAAAAAAGAUCCAUUCCAAAAACACUUCUAAAAAAAGGAUUGCUCGUUGUUGCAUCAAAAAAAAAAAAAAAAAAAAAAAAAGAGAGAGAAACCAAACUAUUUUCUCUUAGGACGAUCUAAAAUACUAGGAACAAAGGAAGUACACUCAAGGGGCAGCCACUAAAAUGAACCAAUACACCCCGCUAUUCGACACUUACAGAUUUCAAGGCACACAUGUAUGUGUUCCGAAAGAAGAAAAAAGGAAAAAGAAAAAAAAAACCCGAGAAAGAAAAAAAGAAAAGGAAGAACACUACAUUAAGAAAGAAGGAAAAAGAACAGCGGCAAUAACAACAGCAACAGCAAUAGCAACAGCAACAACAAUAAUAACAACACUUAUCGAACAAAAUCAAAAACACCACACCUGCUGGAACAAUAAAAUAUUUUCAUUCACUUGAAACGUCGUAGUCCGCAAUGUUCAUCCAAAAAGAUUAAGCUGAACGUCUAGCUGCAUUUAAACCCAACACACGCUUACUCACACACUCGUACACAUAUAUAUACACAUACACACACGCACACAUACCGCACGCACGCGCACGAGUCUACAUAUACUUAUGUGUAUAUGUGUAUAUAUAUAUAUAUAUGUAUUCACACAUAUAUAUAUAUAUAUAUAUAUAUGGAUGUACCUCAGCAAGAGGUAGUCUCUUCUAUCUAAAUUGCCAAGACAUACUGAAGUUCAACAUCGGAGCAGCACCAGCAACCAGCAACCAACGGCAGCAGCAGCAGCAGCAGCAGCAGCAGCAGCGGCGACGGCGGCGGCUACAGCAACAGCAACGGCACGCCAAAAGGAAACCAUCACUACCACCCCCUUCACACCCCUUCUCUAAAUCAUUCCACCUCUUUCCUCAACCAACCAAUUCCAUCCCCACUCUGAUACGUUUCCGCAUGAUGCAGUGGUUCUCAAAACUCUUAUUCCCAAUAUCUCAUACCAUUCCUUCUAUACCUCAGCGACCUAUUGUGCAAUUUGUCGAUUUAAACAAAACUUUAUUCUUUCUUUUUUUGCUUUACGGUAUUAAUUUUUCUUUCAAAUUUUCUUUAAACGGAUUGGAACGACAGGUUAUUCCGCAGGAGAGAGAACGGGAGUAAAUAAGAAGAAAAAAAAAAGGGGGAGAGUGAGAGAGAGAGAGAGAGAGAGAGAGAGAGAGAGAGAGAGAGA